ACCUAUUUCCGUUAAAAAUGUACUUGUAUCAUUCAUCAAUUAAAGUUUGCUAAUUUCAAAGCCAAAUAAUUUGAAGUUAAGAAGAAUGCAUCCGAUAUUUGGGAGAGUGGUAGCGGAGUGGUCAUCUCCGUCGCAGCAAAUCUCCUCGCCGGCGCCGUUUCUGUAUUGCGUGCACCUUAAUGGAAGCGACGAUUCGGCUCUCAGAGUUGUCGCCACCGAUUUUCAGAGCAAUACAUUUCAGGUCAUUAGGUCUCGCCAUCAGCUGGAAGACUUGGUAAUUUAAUCUUUUCAUCCUCACAUAUUAUUAAUCCAAACUGUUUCCUCUUUUGUUUUCUUGUUCCAGUUUAAUGUUUGGAUUCCUGCUAUAUUUUCGCGGGUUGUUUCAGUUAUUGAUCACUUACCGAGAACAAUUACUGAAGUGAUGAUGCUCUAAUCGUAAUGAAAAUGAAAAUAGAAGAUUGAUCUCUUUUUUCUUUUGUUUUUUUGGAAAUACUGGCAUUGAGUCUUUUCUUCGCAAUUUAGGUUUGCUUCAGCCUUGAAAAUGGGGCAAAUUAAGAGUAUUUGGCAAAUGUGUUAUGAACUCUCUUACCUUCAUUUGGAUGACUUGUUUCUUGGCACAUUGCUAUAUAUACUGUGGGUUCAAAGGUCAAAAACAUCGGAAACUAAGCUAUCCAUUAUAGUCUAACUUGGAGUUAACUGAUAUAUUUGGGUUUUAAUUAUUUUGCCUUUGAUAGAUGUUUAUAAGCAGUAACAUUCACCUAGUAUUGUUGGUGAUCGUUGCCUCUGAGGAAUAUAAAGUAAGAAAUGCUGCAAUUGGAGCUAUUUUUAUGAUCUUGGUUUUAAUUUCCGAGGCAUGUGGCUAGCUCAAAGGACCUAUGUGGCAUGUGCCAUGGUCUGUGUCUUGCAUUUUCUUACCUCAUAUGUUAUUUCAUAUUAGCUGUCGCAUGAUAUGGAUUCAAUUACAAGAGAGAAUAUUACGGGUAAGGCUUGCUGGGGUAUUUUGAGAUGAUAUAGGGAUUGGUGGCUCAUGGUCUGAGUAUAUCGACUACAUCACGACUUCCCUAAAAUCAGGAGAUGUGAAGCUUGUCUUGGAUGGUGUAUCAGAAUUGGAAGGUGCUUCUCAGGAAAAAUUAAUCUGCCAAAAAGCAAAAGGAAUGCCACGGAUCUUGUUAGCCCUUUGUAAGCUCGUCAAUGGUGCUGCUAGUGAAGAAAUGGCAAUUCUUUCACUCGAACUAUACAAUGGUUUCAAGGACACUGAGUGUUCACUUGCAGAAGAGAAAGGGAGCAAAUAUCACUUGCAAAAAGCUCUAGCUACUGAACAGGAGAAGAAUGCUUAUCUCCAGAAUAAACAUGACAUUUUACUCAGGAAAGCACAAGUCACAGAAAAUAAAUGAUAGAAAAGACCAAGGUUCUUCAUCUGCUAUAGUUUCAGCAGAGUCACCAGACAAGAAAACUGCUUCUGACACAAACGUAAGAAAGGGAACUAACCGUGUUGUACCGGCAUACCGCAGGUCUAAAGUAAGAGGAGCUAUUUUAAAUGACACCGAAGAUGAUGCGUAGAAUUUCAAAGGAUCAUGGCAACAUGUCUUUGUAUCAUGUUCAUUACACAGUGUCACAAGUUGAUAGUUCUCGAUAUCAACCGACGCUCAGUGGUUGGAGUACUGAGUCUUGCUGUGCGUUAGUGGAUUUUAUUUUUAAAUAGGAAAUGGAAAUAUCUCACAGGCAGCAUCUUCUGAUGUGAAUUUUAACUGCUAGUACAUGUUCUUGUGACAAUUUUUCUUGUCUUUUUAUCAUUUGUUAUUACUAGAAAUGAAAUUAGAACGAUCUGGACCAUCUGGAAUUGAUUUGUCAGAAAAAAUACAUUAGUAGCCUGCUUGAUUGCCAUUUUCAAAAUUAUACAACUUGUCGGCUCUUGCUACUGUGGUUGUGGCUUCAUUGCUUAGCAACUGCUGGUAAAAUAUUUGCGACUAAGAUUAAAUUCUGCUUUCAACUGGGAUCUGGAAGGUUUCAGCUUUCAGGCAUGCUUACACUUGAGAUUUGAGCAUCUGGAUUCGCAGCAUUUCGUAUAUAAUCUCCUUGCUGUGCUUGAUCUACAUGAUCAACUUUUGCAACUCUGCGAUUUUUUACAGAACAGGCACCCUCCCUGUCCUCUUGAUUUGUAUUUCUUCUCGCUGAAAGAUAUUGACAAGGUAUGGAGUAAUUAUUAACUAGGCUGUACAGUUUUGGAGUUGAAAUAAGUACGAUACGAGAAGCUAUCAAUUCCGUACGUUCUGCAAGUUCAUUUAUAUUCUGAUUCCCUGUAUUCAUCUAUACUGCUUAAAGUCUAUUCAGUGCUUUGAACAUUGAGGUUCUUUACGUUUUGAUCGAUAUUAUUUGUUUCCAUAGCCUAUUUUUUCUAUGCCAAAACUAUGAUGACUCUACUGCUAAGAGCAAAGAUUGGGGAAAGUGUACCUGGUCCCUCUCUUGAGUGCUUUCUCGUCUUGGCCUUCUUCUUCCUCUUUGAACUGAGAGAUACAGGUAAGAACAUCUUUAGUAAAAACACUUCGCUUUCCAUGCUUUCGCUCCUGCAUAUUGGUUUAGUGUUGGCGCUUUUCGUUAUCAAGGGGGUUUUAUGCUUCACUUUCUCGUCAUCUGUUACCGCACCCUCCUUGUCUUGAUGCUCGACUAUAUCUUUGAGCGUCAGUUCAUAUGAAGAUUCAGGAACGUCUUUGAGCAUCUCCAUGAGCUCCCUUCUACCAUCAACAAUUGCCCUUAAACGGGACGUUGGGGAGAGGCAGCUAUACUGGUGGUUCUCAGGAAGCAAAGUGGAGGUUUCCGGUCUUCUCCACAGUGGAGGCGAUGGCGCUUCAACUUGAUCUUCUCCGAACAUUUGGAAUUCAAACAACUCAUCCUCGCAGCAACGGUGACCAACCGAUAACCUUUCUUCCCAAAACUUGAAAUCGCUCGAUCUUCCCAUCACUCCAGGUAUCGUCUCAUCAACUGCGUUUCGAUUUUGAUUUUGGUUUCGGUUUCCUUGAUGAAGAAUGAAGGGUGAAGGUUAUGAUAGGAGAGUAGAGGCUAUGAAGAGUGGUUGGUUCAUUAAAUUAAAGAUGAUUACAAGUCGAAUCUAUAUCUAUUUUGAUAUUAGAAAAGUUGCAAUUUUCUACAACUUA